rnacentral:sRNA from 1 species
GCCGGGCAUAGUGGCGCAAAGCCUGUAAUCCUGGCAACCGGGGAGGCUGAGGCAGGAGGAUCACAAGGUCGAGGUCAGCCUCAACAAUUAGCAAGACCCUGUCUCAA